rnacentral:rRNA from 1 species
ACCUACGGGGGCAGCAGUAGGGAAUUUUCGUCAAUGGGCGCAAGCCUGAACGAGCAAUGCCGCGUGAACGAGGAAGGUCUUCGGAUCGUAAAGUUCUGUUGAAGGGGAAAAAGAGCGGAGAGAGGAAAUGGUCUCCUAUUGAUAUUACCCUUCGAGGAAGUCACGGCUAACUACGUGCCAGCAGCCGCGGUAAUACGUAGGUGGCGAGCGUUAUCCGGAAUGAUUGGGCGUAAAGGGUGCGUAGGCGGCCUGCUAAGUCUGGAGUGAAAGGUACCGGCUCAACCGGUACAGGCUCUGGAAACUGG